GACCCGAAAGAUGGUGAACUAUGCCUGAAUAGGGUGAAGCCAGAGGAAACUCUGGUGGAAGCUCGUAGCGGUUCUGACGUGCAAAUCGAUCGUCAAAUUUGGGUAUAGGGGCGAAAGACUAAUCGAACCAUCUAGUAGCUGGUUCCCUCCGAAGUUUCCCUCAGGAUAGCUGGAGCUCGUGAGUAUGUGCAGUUUUAUCAGGUAAAGCGAAUGAUUAGAGGCCUUGGGAUCGAAAUGACCUCAACCUAUUCUCAAACUUUAAAUGGGUAAGAUGUUCCACUUGCUUAAUUUAGCUGGUGCACUUGUGCGCCAGUGCUGGCGCGUGGCUGCGUGCCUGCUCUCGGGUGGGUGCGUAGCUGGCGUGCUGGUGUGAAGUGGAUCUCUCGAAUGCAGGAGCUCCUAGUGGGCCAUUUUUGGUAAGCAGAACUGGCGAUGCGGGAUGAACCGAACGCUGGGUUAAGGUGCCAAAGUCGACGCUCAUGAGAGCCCACGAAAGGUGUUGGUUGAUACAGACAGCAGGACGGUGGCCAUGGAAGUUGGAAUCCGCUAAGGAGUGUGUAACAACACACCUGCCGAAUCAACUAGCCCUGAAAAUGGAUGGCGCUCAAGCGUCGCACCUAUCCCCGGCCGCCGUGUCGAGGUGUGUGGCCAGCACGGCGAGUAGGAGGGCGCUGGGAUGGCUGUGCAGGCUGGUGCGUGAGCCUAGUUGAAGCUGUCUUGGGUGCAGAUCUUGGUGGUAGUAGCAAUUAUUCAAAUGAGAUCUUUGAAGGCCGAAGUGGAGAAGGGUUCCACGUGAACAGCACUUGGACGUGGGUGAGUCGGUCCUAAGGGAUGGGCGAAAGCCUGUGAGUUAAGCGCGCAUUCGUGGUGCGUGCCUGCGAUUGCUCGAGGUGGUGCGCGUUUGCCGCUUCACGGUGGUGAGCGUGUGCCGCUGAGGGCGCGUAGGUUCGCCUGCGGCUUGAAAGAGUUGCGCGGUCUCCCGAAAGGGAAUCGGGUUAAUAUUCCCGAACCGAGCACUUGGAUGCUGCCGGCGCUGCCUGCUGGGCUUCGGUCCGGUUGCGCAGCAAAGGUGGAGAGCGGCAACGUAUACGACCUCGGAGACGCCUGCGAUAGACCUGGGAAGAGUUCUCUUUUCUUCUUGACCGUACCUACCGUGUACUUGGCCCUGGAAGCAGUUUACCUUGAGAUAGGGCUGGAGGUCGGGCAAAGCGCCGCACUUGUUGCGGCGUCCGGUGCUCUGUCGUUGGUCCUUGAAAAUCCGAGGGAGCGUUUGUUGAUCUCGUGCUCGGCCGUACCCAUCACCGCAUCAGGUCUCCAAGG
rnacentral:rRNA from 1 species